GUGAAGUUUCUUCGGAAAUGGAUUAGCGGCGAACGGGUGAGGAACACGUGAAGAAUCUGCCCUCCACUUUGGGAUAACACCGGGAAACCGGUGCUAAUACCGAAUAUUGAAACAUAAGUGGCAUCACUGAGUUUUGAAAGAAUUUCGGUGGAGGAUGACUUCGCGGCCUAUCAGCUAGUUGGUGAGGUAAUGGCUCACCAAGGCAACGACGGGUAGCCGGCCUGAGAGGGCGACCGGCCACACUGGGACUGAGACACGGCCCAGACUCCUACGGGAGGCAGCAGUGGGGAAUAUUGGGCAAUGGAGGAAACUCUGACCCAGCGACGCCGCGUGCGGGAUGAAGGCCUUCGGGUUGUAAACCGCUUUCAGUAGGGAAGAAGCGAAAGUGACGGUACCUACAAAAGAAGCACCGGCUAACUAUGUGCCAGCAGCCGCGGUAAUACAUAGGGUGCAAGCGUUGUCCGGAAUUAUUGGGCGUAAAGAGCUCGUAGGUCGUUUGUUACGUCGGAUGUGAAAACCUGAGGCUCAACCUCAGGCCUGCAUUCGAUACGGGCAAACUAGAGUUUGGUAGGGGAGACUGGAAUUCCUGGUGUAGCGGUGGAAUGCGCAGAUAUCAGGAGGAACACCAAUGGCGAAGGCAGGUCUCUGGGCCAAUACUGACACUGAGGAGCGAAAGUCUGGGGAGCGAACAGGAUUAGAUACCCUGGUAGUCCAGACCGUAAACGGUGGGCACUAGUUGUGGGAACCUUCCACGGUUUCUGCGACGCAGCUAACGCAUUAAGUGCCCCGCCUGGGGAGUACGAUCGCAAGAUUAAAACUCAAAGGAAUUGACGGGGCCCCGCACAAGCAGCGGAGCAUGCGGCUUAAUUCGACGCAACGCGAAGAACCUUACCAGGCUUGACAUAUAGAGAAAAGUGGCAGAGAUGUCAUGUCCGCAAGGGCUCUAUACAGGUGGUGCAUGGUUGUCGUC
rnacentral:rRNA from 1 species